UACAGAGGGUGCGAGCGUUGUCCGGAAUCACUGGGCGUAAAGGGCGCGUAGGUGGCGGGCCAAGUCCCUGGUGAAAGCUCGAGGCUCAACAUCGAGUCGGCCACGGAUACUGGUGCGCUGGAGCACUGUAGAGGCAGAUGGAAUUCCGGGUGUAGCGGUGGAAUGCGUAGAGAUCCGGAAGAACACCGGUGGCGAAGGCGGUCUGCUGGGCAGUUGCUGACACUGAGGCGCGACAGCGUGGGGAGCAAACAGG
rnacentral:rRNA from 1 species